rnacentral:rRNA from 1 species
UACGUAGGGUGCAAGCGUUGUCCGGAAUUAUUGGGCGUAAAGAGCUCGUAGGCGGUUUGUCGCGUCUGCUGUGAAAACUCGGGGCUUAACUCCGGGCCUGCAGUGGGUACGGGCAGACUAGAGUGCGGUAGGGGAGACUGGAAUUCCCGGUGUAGUGGUGAAAUGCGUAGAUAUCGGGAGGAACACCAGUGGCGAAGGCGACUUCCUGGCCUGUUCUUGACGCUGAGGCGCGAAAGCGUGGGGAGCAAAC